rnacentral:rRNA from 1 species
CUUUCAACAACGGAUCUCUUGGUUCUGGCAUCGAUGAAGAACGCAGCGAAAUGCGAUAAGUAAUGUGAAUUGCAGAAUUCAGUGAAUCAUCGAAUCUUUGAACGCACAUUGCGCCCGCCAGUAUUCUGGCG